rnacentral:rRNA from 1 species
CUUGAACGCUGGCGGAAUGCUUUACACAUGCAAGUCGAACGGCAGCACGGACUUCGGUCUGGUGGCGAGUGGCGAACGGGUGCGUAAUGUAUCGGAACGUGUCCAAUAAUGGGGGAUAACUAGUCGAAAGAUUAGCUAAUACAGCAUACGCCCUACGGGGGAAAGCUAGGGACCUUCGGGCCUGGCGUUAAUGGAGCGGCCGAUAUCUGAUUAGCUAGUCGGUGAGGUAAAAGCUCACCAAGGAGACGAUCAGUAGCUGGUCUGAGAGGACGACAAGGCACACGUGAACUGGGACACGGGCCAGACUCCGACGGGAGGCAGCGGUGGGGAACUUUAGACAAUGAGCGGAAGCCUGAUCCAGCCAUUCCGCGUGAGUUAAGAAGGCCUUCGGGUUGUAAAGCUCUUUCGCAAGAGAAGAAAACUUACCCUCUAACAUAGGGGGAGGCUGACGGUAUCUUGAUAAGAAGCACCGGCUAACUACGUGCCAGCCGCCGCCGUAAAAC